rnacentral:rRNA from 1 species
GAUGAACGCUGGCGGCGUGCCUAAUACAUGCAAGUCGAGCGAAUGGAUUAAGAGCUUGCUCUUAUGAAGUUAGCGGCGGACGGGUGAGUAACACGUGGGUAACCUGCCCAUAAGACUGGGAUAACUCCGGGAAACCGGGGCUAAUACCGGAUAACAUUUUGAACCGCAUGGUUCGAAAUUGAAAGGCGGCUUCGGCUGUCACUUAUGGAUGGACCCGCGUCGCAUUAGCUAGUUGGUGAGGUAACGGCUCACCAAGGCAACGAUGCGUAGCCGACCGGGGAGGGUGAUCGGCCACACUGGGACUGAGACACGGCCCAGACUCCGACGGGAGGCAGCAGUAGGGAAUCUUCCGCAAGGGACGAAAGUCGGACGGAGCAACGCCGCGUGAGUGAGGAAGGCUUUCGGGUCGUAAAACUCUGUUGUUAGGGAAGAACAAGUGCUAGUUGAAUAAGCUGGCACCUUGACGGUACCUAACCAGAAAGCCACGGCUAACUACGUGCCAGCCGCCGCGGUAA